rnacentral:rRNA from 1 species
UACAGAGGGGGCAAGCGUUGUUCGGAAUUACUGGGCGUAAAGGGCGCGUAGGCGGCCUUCUAAGUCAUGCGUGAAAUCCCCGGGCUCAACCCGGGAACUGCGUCUGAUACUGGAAGGCUUGAAUCCGGGAGAGGGAUGUGGAAUUCCAGGUGUAGCGGUGAAAUGCGUAGAUAUCUGGAGGAACACCGGUGGCGAAGACGGCAUUCUGGACCGACAUUGACGCUGAGGAGCGAAAGCCAGGGGAGCAAACGGG